rnacentral:rRNA from 1 species
GAAAGGGACGGCUAANUACGUGCCAGCAGCCGCGGUAAUACGUAGGUCCCGAGCGUUGUCCGGAUUUAUUGGGCGUAAAGGGAGCGCAGGCGNUCAGGAAAGUCUGGAGUAAAAGGCUAUGGNUCAACCAUAGUGUGCUCUGGAAACUNUCUGACCUGAGUGCAGAAGGGGAGAGUGGAAUUCCAUGUGUAGCGGUGAAAUGCGUAGAUAUAUGGAGGAACACCAGUGGCGAAAGCGGCUCUCUGGUCUGUCACUGACGCUGAGGCUCGAAAGCGUGGGUAGCGAACAGGAUUAGAUACCCUGGUAGUCCACGCCGUAAACGAUGAGUGCUAGGUGUUAGGCCCUUUCCGGGGCUUAGUGCCGGAGCUAACGCAAUAAGCACUCCGCCUGGGGAGUACGACCGCAAGGUUGAAACUCAAAGGAAUUGACGGGGGCCCGCACAAGCGGUGGAGCAUGUGGUUUAAUUCGAAGCAACGCGAAGAACCUUACCAGGUCUUGACAUCCCGAUGCUAUUCUUAGAGAUAGGAAGUUACUUCGGUACAUCGGAGACAGGUGGUGCAUGGUUGUCGUCAGCUCGUGUCGUGAGAUGUUGGGUUAAGUCCCGCAACGAGCGCAACCCUUAUUGUUAGCUGCCAUCAUUAAGUUGGGCACUCUAGCGAGACUGCCGGUAAUAAACCGGAGGAAGGUGGGGAUGACGUCAAAUCAUCAUGCCCCUUAUGACCUGGGCUACACACGUGCUACAAUGGUCGGUACAACGAGUUGCGAGCCGGUGACGGCAAGCUAAUCUCUGAAAGCCGAUCUCAGUUCGGAUUGGAGGCUGCAACUCGCCUCCAUGAAGUCGGAAUCGCUAGUAAUCGCGGAUCAGCACGCCGCGGUGAAUACGUUCCCGGGCCUUGUACACACCGCCCGUCACACCACGAGAGUUUGUAACACCCGAAGUCGGUGAGGUAACCUUUUAGGGGCCAG